GACGAACGCUGGCGGCGUGCUUAACACAUGCAAGUCGAGCGGUAAGGCCCUUUCGGGGGUACACGAGCGGCGAACGGGUGAGUAACACGUGGGUGACCUGCCCUCAGCUCUGGGAUAAGCCUGGGAAACCGGGUCUAAUACUGGAUAUGACUCCAUGACGCAUGUUGUGGGGUGGAAAGCCUUGUGCGGCUGAGGAUGGGCCCGCGGCCUAUCAGCUUGUUGGUGGGGUGAGGCCUACCAAGGCGACGACGGGUAGCCGGCCUGAGAGGGCGACUGGCCACACUGGGACUGAGACACGGCCCAGACUCCUACGGGAGGCAGCAGUGGGGAAUCGUUGCGCAAUGGGCGAAAGCCUGACGCAGCGACGCCGCGUGAGGGAUGGACGG
rnacentral:rRNA from 1 species